rnacentral:rRNA from 1 species
GACGGGGCCCGCACAAGCGGUGGAGCAUGUGGUUUUAAUUCGAAGCAACGCGAAGAACCUUUACCAGGUCUUGACAUCCCGAUGCUAUUUCUAGAGAUAGAAAGUUACUUCGGUACAUCGGUGACAGGUGGUGCAUGGUUGUCGUCAGCUCGUGUCGUGAGAUGUUGGGUUAAGUCCCGCAACGAGCGCAACCCCUAUUGUUAGUUGCCAUCAUUCAGUUUGGGCACUCUAGCGAGACUGCCGGUAAUAAACCGGAGGAAGUGGGGAUGACGUCAAAUCAUCAUGCCCCUUAUGACCUGGGCUACACACGUGCUACAAUGGUUGGUACAACGAGUUGCGAGUCGGUGACGGCGAGCUAAUCUCUUAAAGCCAAUCUCAGUUCGGAUUGUAGGCUGCAACUCGCCUACAUGAAGUCGGAAUCGCUAGUAAUCGCGGAUCAGCAUGCCGCGGUGAAUACGUCCCCGGGUCUU